rnacentral:rRNA from 1 species
GGGUUGUGAGGUUAAGCGACUAAGCGUACACGGUGGAUGCCCUGGCAGUCAGAGGCGAUGAAGGACGUGCUAAUCUGCGAAAAGCGUCGGUAAGGUGAUAUGAACCGUUAUAGCCGGCGAUGUCCGAAUGGGGAAACCCAGUGCAAUUCGUUGCACUAUCGUUUGAUGAAUACAUAGUCAAACGAGGCGAACCGGGGGAACUGAAACAUCUAAGUACCCCGAGGAAAAGAAAUCAACCGAGAUUCCCCCAGUAGCGGCGAGCGAACGGGGAGCAGCCCGGAGUCUGAAUCAGCUUGUGUGUUAGUGGAAGCGUCUGGAAAGUCGCAGGGUACAGGGUGAUACUCCCGUACACUAAAGCACACAGGUUGUGAACUCGAAGAGUAGGGCGGGACACGUGGUAUCCUGUCUGAAUAUGGGGGGACCAUCCUCCAAGGCUAAAUACUCCUGACUGACCGAUAGUGAACCAGUACCGUGAGGGAAAGGCGAAAAGAACCCCGGCGAGGGGAGUGAAAAAGAACCUGAAACCGUGUACGUACAAGCAGUAGGAGCCUCUUUAUGGGGUGACUGCGUACCUUUUGUAUAAUGGGUCAGCGACUUAUAUUCUGUAGCAAGGUUAACCGUAUAGGGGAGCCGCAGGGAAACCGAGUCUUAACUGGGCGUUAAGUUGCAGGGUAUAGACCCGAAACCCGGUGAUCUAGCCAUGGGCAGGUUGAAGGUUGGGUAACACUAACUGGAGGACCGAACCGACUAAUGUUGAAAAAUUAGCGGAUGACUUGUGGCUGGGGGUGAAAGGCCAAUCAAACCGGGAGAUAGCUGGUUCUCCCCGAAAGCUAUUUAGGUAGCGCCUCGUGAACUCAUCUUCGGGGGUAGAGCACUGUUUCGGCUAGGGGGUCAUCCCGACUUACCAACCCGAUGCAAACUACGAAUACCGAAGAAUGUUAUCACGGGAGACACACGGCGGGUGCUAACGUCCGUCGUGAAGAGGGAAACAACCCAGACCGCCAGCUAAGGUCCCAAAGUCAUGGUUAAGUGGGAAACGAUGUGGGAAGGCCCAGACAGCCAGGAUGUUGGCUUAGAAGCAGCCAUCAUUUAAAGAAAGCGUAAUAGCUCACUGGUCGAGUCGGCCUGCGCGGAAGAUGUAACGGGGCUAAACCAUGCACCGAAGCUGCGGCAGCGACACUAUGUGUUGUUGGGUAGGGGAGCGUUCUGUAAGCCGUUGAAGGUGGCCUGUGAGGGUUGCUGGAGGUAUCAGAAGUGCGAAUGCUGACAUAAGUAACGAUAAUGCGGGUGAAAAACCCGCACGCCGGAAGACCAAGGGUUCCUGUCCAACGUUAAUCGGGGCAGGGUGAGUCGACCCCUAAGGCGAGGCCGAAAGGCGUAGUCGAUGGGAAACAGGUUAAUAUUCCUGUACUCGGUGUUACUGCGAAGGGGGGACGGAGAAGGCUAUGUUGGCCGGGCGACGGUUGUCCCGGUUUAAGCAUGUAGGCGGAUGUUCCAGGUAAAUCCGGAA